GCUCACUCCUCAGCUGCAGGAGACAGACGUGUGGAGUCCCAGCAGAGGCCAACCUGUGUCUCUUCAUCUCCCUGGGAAAGGUGCCCCCGAGGUGAAUGAGAUGGCCUGGUGGAAAGCCUGGGAGAAUAAAUAGACUAGGUUGAAUCCAUACGAUGGAAUGUUAGCAGACAAUAAAAAGAAAAUGAACUAUUGAUACCCCCUACUACACAGCAGAAGCUCUGAAUUGUGUUCCUGAAUGAAAGAAGUCAGAUGGUGUCAGAGCGGAUCUGAAGUAGAGCUUCUAACGACUCCCAGGAGUGCUGAGUGACCGAAGCCAGGUACCUGCAGGACCUAUUUGUGUCCGUUGAUCUCUCAGAGCAGUUGGAGGUCAUG
rnacentral:lncRNA from 1 species